rnacentral:rRNA from 1 species
UACGGAGGGGCUAGCGUUGUUCGGAAUCACUGGGCGUAAAGCGCACGUAGGCGGAUCUUUAAGUCAGGGGUGAAAUCCCGAGGCUCAACCUCGGAACUGCCUUUGAUACUGGGGAUCUCGAGUCCGGGGAGAGGUGAGUGGAACUGCGAGUGUAGAGGUGAAAUUCGUAGAUAUUCGCAAGAACACCAGUGGCGAAGGCGGCUCACUGGCCCGGAACUGACGCUGAGGUGCGAAAACGUGGGGACAACAGGG